rnacentral:lncRNA from 1 species
AUAACUCUCAUUUUCUCGCAAGUAACUAGUUUGAGAAUAAAAGAGUAUAUAAGUAACAACAGCAUACUUUUAGUUUUCAAUGUGAGACUAAUUCUCACAUGUGAAAAUUUUAGAUGGGCUCCUUCCAGACAAGGCCCAUCAAAUAUUGGGUUGUCCAAGAGGUCUAAUAAGUUUUAAAUCACCAAAAUCGAAUAAAAUCUAACAUUUUUAGUCCAUUUCAUAUGGUGUGAUCU